rnacentral:rRNA from 1 species
ACGCUCGACACCUACGGGAGGCAGCAGUGAGGAAUAUUGGUCAAUGGGCGCUAGCCUGAACCAGCCAAGUAGCGUGAAGGAUGAAGGCUCUAUGGGUCGUAAACUUCUUUUAUAUAAGAAUAAAGUGCAGUAUGUAUACUGUUUUGUAUGUAUUAUAUGAAUAAGGAUCGGCUAACUCCGUACCAGCAGCCCGCGGUAAUCUGAGCGGCUGGCAAGGC